AGUGAACGCUGGCGGCAGGCCUAACACAUGCAAGUCGAACGGAUCCUUCGGGAUUAGUGGCGGACGGGUGAGUAAAGCGUGGGAACAUACCCUUUGGUACGGAAUAGCCUCGGGAAACUGGGAGUAAUACCGUACGUGGUCGAGAGACGAAAGAUUUAUCGCCAAAGGAUUGGCCCGCGUUGGAUUAGGUAGUUGGUGGGGUAAUGGCCUACCAAGCCGACGAUCCAUAGCUGGUUUGAGAGGAUGAUCAGCCACACUGGGACUGAGACACGGCCCAGACUCCUACGGGAUGCAGCAGUGGGGAAUCUUAGACAAUGGGGGAAACCCUGAUCUAGCCAUGCCGCGUGAUCGAUGAAGGCCUUAGGGUUGUAAAGAUCUUUCAGGUGGGAAGAUAAUGACUGUACCACCAGAAGAAGCCCCGGCUAACUCCGUGCCAGCAGCCGCCGUAA
rnacentral:rRNA from 1 species